UCCUUUUAAUUCUAAGACUCGUUUCUUAGUGAGAUCAAUACUUGAUAUUAUUAGACAAUAAAAUUGAUACUUGUUUAUUUAUAAUGGUUCACUAAGGCCUCUUUUUUCAUCAUUUUUUUGUUCACUUAUAAUUUGGAAAUUUCCAAGCUUUUUACAAAGGCAUGAAAGUCGACUAAAUAUCUCAGCUGUAGGCAUGAAUUUUGUCCACAUCCAAUUCUUUUUAUUGUUUAUCUUUAAAAAAUGGAUGAUCAAUAGCCAUUUUUUCAUAAGAAUGACUUAUAGGAUAAUAAAUCACACUUUGACUAAGUAACCUACAAAAAUACUUCCAAAAGUUAAAAAUAUUAAAAAAAUUGUCAUAAGAAUAGACGUAUCAUGGCAUCAUAAGAUGUCUU
rnacentral:lncRNA from 1 species